UACGUAGGGGGCUAGCGUUGUCCGGAUUUAUUGGGCGUAAAGAGCGUGUAGGCGGCCAAACAAGUCCGACGUGAAAUCUGGAGGCUUAACCUCCAGCGGUCGUUGGAAACUGUGUGGCUAGAGUCCGGAAGAGGAGAGUGGAAUUCCUGGUGUAGCAGUGAAAUGCGCAGAUAUCAGGAAGAACACCUAUGGCGAAAGCAGCUCUCUAGGACGGUACUGACGCUGAGACGCGAAAGCGUGGGGAGCGAACAGG
rnacentral:rRNA from 1 species